CAGUCGCCGCGGUAAUACGUAGGGUGCGAGCGUUAAUCGGAAUUACUGGGCGUAAAGCGUGCGCAGGCGGUUUUGUAAGACAGGCGUGAAAUCCCCGGGCUCAACCUGGGAAUGGCGCUUGUGACUGCAAAGCUAGAGUGCGGCAGAGGGGGAUGGAAUUCCGCGUGUAGCAGUGAAAUGCGUAGAUAUGCGGAGGAACACCGAUGGCGAAGGCAAUCCCCUGGGCCUGCACAGACGCUCAUGCACGAAAGCGUGGGGAGCAAACAGGAUUAGAUACCCCCGUAGUCCCUGUCUCUUAUAC
rnacentral:rRNA from 1 species